rnacentral:rRNA from 1 species
GAUGAACGCUAGCUACAGGCUUAACACAUGCAAGUCGAGGGGAAACGAUAUUGGAAGCUUGCUUCCGAUAGGCGUCGACCGGCGCACGGGUGAGUAACGCGUAUCCAACCUGCCCAUCACUUGGGGAUAACCUUGCGAAAGUAAGACUAAUACCCAAUGAUAUCCGUCGAAGACAUCUGAAGUGGAUUAAAGAUUCAUCGUUGAUGGAUGGGGAUGCGUCUGAUCAGCUUGUUGGCGGGGUAACGGCCCACCAAGGCGACGAUCAGUAGGGGUUCUGAGAGGAAGGUCCCCCACAUUGGAACUGAGACACGGUCCAAACUCCUACGGGAGGCAGCAGUGAGGAAUAUUGGUCAAUGGACGAGAGUCUGAACCAGCCAAGUAGCGUGCAGGAUGACGGCCCUAUGGGUUGUAAACUGCUUUUAUAAGGGAAUAAAGUGAGUCUCGUGAGACUUUUUGCAUGUACCUUAUGAAUAAGGACCGGCUAAUUCCGUGCCAGCAGCCGCCGUAA